rnacentral:rRNA from 1 species
GAUGAACGCUGGCGGCGUGCCUAAUACAUGCAAGUCGAGCGAACAGACGAGGAGCUUGCUCCUCUGACGUUAGCGGCGGACGGGUGAGUAACACGUGGAUAACCUACCUAUAAGACUGGGAUAACUUCGGGAAACCGGAGCUAAUACCGGAUAAUAUAUUGAACCGCAUGGUUCAUUAGUGAAAGACGUUUUUUCUGUCACUUAUAGAUGGAUCCGCGCCGCAUUAGCUAGUUGGUAAGGUACCAGCUUACCAAGGCAACGAUGCGUAGCCGACCUGAGAGGGUGAUCGGCCACACUGGCACUGAGACACGGUCCAGACUCCUACGGGAGGCAGCAGUAGGGAAUCUUCCGCGAUGGGCGAAAGCCUGACGGAGCAACGCCGCGUGAAUGAUGAAGGUCUUCGGAUCGUAAAACUCUGUUAUUAGGGAAGAACAAAUGUGUAAGUAACUAUGCACGUCUUGACGGUACCUAAUCAGAAAGCCACGGCUAACUACGUG